rnacentral:rRNA from 1 species
CGGGACACGUGGUAUCCUGUCUGAAUAUGGGGGGACCAUCCUCCAAGGCUAAAUACUCCUGACUGACCGAUAGUGAACCAGUACCGUGAGGGAAAGGCGAAAAGAACCCCGGCGAGGGGAGUGAAAAAGAACCUGAAACCGUGUACGUACAAGCAGUGGGAGCACGCUUAGGCGUGUGACUGCGUACCUUUUGUAUAAUGGGUCAGCGACUUAUAUUCUGUAGCAAGGUUAACCGAAUAGGGGAGCCGAAGGGAAACCGAGUCUUAACUGGGCGUUAAGUUGCAGGGUAUAGACCCGAAACCCGGUGAUCUAGCCAUGGGCAGGUUGAAGGUUGGGUAACACUAACUGGAGGACCGAACCGACUAAUGUUGAAAAAUUAGCGGAUGACUUGUGGCUGGGGGUGAAAGGCCAAUCAAACCGGGAGAUAGCUGGUUCUCCCCGAAAGCUAUUUAGGUAGCGCCUCGUGAAUUCAUCUCCGGGGGUAGAGCACUGUUUCGGCAAGGGGGUCAUCCCGACUUACCAACCCGAUGCAAACUGCGAAUACCGGAGAAUGUUAUCACGGGAGACACACGGCGGGUGCUAACGUCCGUCGUGAAGAGGGAAACAACCCAGACCGCCAGCUAAGGUCCCAAAGUCAUGGUUAAGUGGGAAACGAUGUGGGAAGGCCCAGACAGCCAGGAUGUUGGCUUAGAAGCAGCCAUCAUUUAAAGAAAGCGUAAUAGCUCACUGGUCGAGUCGGCCUGCGCGGAAGAUGUAACGGGGCUAAACCAUGCACCGAAGCUGCGGCAGCGACACUAUGUGUUGUUGGGUAGGGGAGCGUUCUGUAAGCCUGUGAAGGUGUACUGUGAGG